rnacentral:rRNA from 2 species
AGAGCUCGUAGGCGGUUUGUCGCGUCUGCUGUGAAAUCCCGAGGCUCAACCUCGGGCUUGCAGUGGGUACGGGCAGACUAGAGUGCGGUAGGGGAGAUUGGAAUUCCUGGUGUAGCGGUGGAAUGCGCAGAUAUCAGGAGGAACACCGAUGGCGAAGGCAGAUCUCUGGGCCGUAACUGACGCUGAGGAGCGAAAGCGUGGGGAGCGAACAGGAUUAGAUACCCUGGUAGUCCACGCCGUAAACGUUGGGCGCUAGAUGUAGGGACCUUUCCACGGUUUCUGUGUCGUAGCUAACGCAUUAAGCGCCCCGCCUGGGGAGUACGGCCGCAAGGCUAAAACUCAAAGGAAUUGACGGGGG